rnacentral:rRNA from 1 species
AUUUGACCUCAAAUCGGGUGGGAUUACCCGCUGAACU